rnacentral:rRNA from 1 species
AGUGAACGCUGGCGGUAGGCCCAACACAUGCAAGUCGAACGGCAGCACAGUAAGAGCUUGCUCUUACGGGUGGCGAGUGGCGGACGGGUGAGGAAUACAUCGGAAUCUACUUUUUCGUGGGGGAUAACGUAGGGAAACUUACGCUAAUACCGCAUACGACCUACGGGUGAAAGCAGGGGAUCUUCGGACCUUGCGCGAUUGAAUGAGCCGAUGUCGGAUUAGCUAGUUGGCGGGGUAAAGGCCCACCAAGGCGACGAUCCGUAGCUGGUCUGAGAGGAUGAUCAGCCACACUGGAACUGAGACACGGUCCAGACUCCUACGGGAGGCAGCAGUGGGGAAUAUUGGGCAAUGGGCGCAAGCCUGAUCCAGCCAUACCGCGUGGGUGAAGAAGGCCUUCGGGUUGUAAAGCCCUUUUGUUGGGAAAGAAAAGCAGCAGGUUAAUACCCCGCUGUUCUGACGGUACCCAAAGAAUAAGCACCGGCUAACUUCGUG